CCCUUAGAUGUUCUGGGCUGCACACGUGCUACACUGGCAGGUUCAGCGAGCUUCAUGCCCUGAUCUGAAAGGAAUGGGAAAUCUUUUCAAAACCUGCCGUGCUUGGGAUAGAUGUUUGCAAUUAUUCAUCUUCAACGAGGAUUGCCUUGUAAGCGCACGUCAUCAGCGUGCAUUGAAUACGACCCUGUAUUCUGUACACACCGCCCGUCGCUCCUACCGAUCGAAGAGUUAGGUGAAUUGUUUUGAUCGAUAAGAUUUGACUAUGGUCAACUCUCGUUGUGAAAUUCUGUGAAUCUGACUGUUUAGAGGAAGGAAAAGUCGUAACA
rnacentral:rRNA from 1 species